rnacentral:rRNA from 1 species
AUUGAACGCUGGCGGCAGGCCUAACACAUGCAAGUCGAGCGAGCGGCGGACGGGUGAGUAAUGUCUGGGAAACUGCCUGAUGGAGGGGGAUAACUACUGGAAACGGUAGCUAAUACCGCAUACCCUCAGAUGUGCCCAGAUGGGAUUGGCUAGUAGGUGGGGUAAUGGCUCACCUAGGCGACGAUCCCUAGCUGGUCUGAGAGGAUGACCAGCAAAACUGGAACUGAGAAACGGUCCGGACGCAUACGGGGGGCACAGGGGGGGAAUAUUGCACAAUGGGCGAAAGCCGGCGGAGGCCAGGCGGCGGGGGGGAAGAGGGCCUUGGGGUUUAAAAGCACUUUCAGCGGGGAGGCGUUACCCGCAGAAAAAGCACCGGCUAACUCCGUGCCAGCAGCCGCGGUAAUAC